AAAGAAGAGAGAGUGUGUGUGCAUGUUUGAAAAUUGCAGUCACUUUUCUUCUACAGCCAGAGGCUAUGAUGUCAGGAAGUAAAUGAUAGAAGAUGUCAGCUCUCCUAUCUAUAACCUCAGCUUUGCAGUUUCUCUGGGGGCCUCAUGCACUCUUACAGCUUCUUAAACAGGAAGUAGACCUGGCAAAAAAUUUAAGUGCGUUUUACACUUGAUAUACCACAGACUCGGCCAGAACAGUUCUAAACAGAAGACUUCACAGAAAUCCUGACACUUUGUUUUUUGCCAAAGAACAGUGUCUUUUUCAGAAAUGCUGAUUUUGGGAUCAUGGACAUUCUCCUUAAUUUCUCCUUAGCAAGUCUGUUGGAAGGAGGAAAUUGGUGCCUUUGAGCAGAUUAUCCCCCCCACACAACAGCGCUUGAUAAGGGACGGUAAGAAGCACAGGUAUUUCCAGUAGUUCUGAGCACCAUGGUACAUAUUUAUAUUACCAUAUGACCUUUGACUCUUCGUCCCCCUCUCAUGACUCCAGACAAUUUGGCACAGUUUAAAGUAGUAGUAUUCCUGGAGGCUCUUCCUACACUGGAUUAGUGAUACAAGAAGCACCUGCAAGCCACAUAAAUGUAUCACAACAUACUCAACUGGGAUGUAUCCUGAACACAGGUUUCUUUUACACAG
rnacentral:lncRNA from 10 species